CAGCCGCCGCGGGAAUACGAAGGGGGCUAGCGUUGCUCGGAGUUACUGGGCGUAAAGGGCGCGUAGGCGGAUGUUUAAGUCAGAGGUGAAAGCCCAGGGCUCAACCUUGGAACUGCCUUUGAUACUGGACAUCUUGAGUGUGGGAGAGGUGAGUGGAACUCCGAGUGUAGAGGUGAAAUUCGUAGAUAUUCGGAAGAACACCAGUGGCGAAGGCGGCUCACUGGACGACUGUUGACGCUGAGGUGCGAAAGCGUGGGGAGCAAACAGGAUUAGAUACCCGAGUAGUCCCUGUCUCUUAUAC
rnacentral:rRNA from 1 species